UUAAAAUUUUUUGUCGAAAUAACAAAUAAUAUCAAAUAGAGUUAUAUAAAUAAAUUUGGGAAUGAAAUCAGAAUGAAAUUAGAGCAACCGUCAGCUUCGCGUUUCGUCCCAAGCGGAGCAUGUACUGGGACCUAGUUACCUGAGCGUGGUUACUAAGUUCAUGCAAAAUGGCGGAAGUAGAGUCUCACAUACCGGCUUUUUAUUUUAUCAAGGCUCUCACUCUUUGGUAAACUUCGCCAAGAAGCUUUCCCCAGGCCCCAAGGCCAGAUUCAAAAGUGAUUGGCUCCACCCCUCAAGUAAGUGUGAAAUCUGUCUGCAAGUCAAAUAACAAGUUUUCGUGACUGAAAUGUCAAAAGCAAUGUAUCAAAAACAUGACCCGAUCACUCCAUGACAUCUUUAUGGGCAUGUCAGGAAAUAGCUAAUGCUAUUCUGUGUAUUUAAACGAGUUAAGGUGUACAGAGUAACAAGGCCUUCACAGGCAGCUGAUAAAGAUAUCUCUUUCAAAGUCGCUCUCGAAGGUGAACACAAACUUGUUUUUUGCUUCAAUUCAGAGCCCAAUUAUUUGCUCACUCAAUUGUGACAUGGGGUGACCAGAAUACAGCUUCUUAUUGAAUGUAAAAUUUCCACAACAUUCACCAACCAGCAAAUUUAUCUGCCACAUGAGAAAGUUUGGCUGACCCAACAGGAGCAUAGUGUGCAUAUUUUCUGCUAAUCUUUCCAGGGAUGGUGCAAGGAAUUUAUGCCAAAUCUCUAACUACAGCGUAGUGAAAUCCCCACUAUCUGGGGUUUUGGGGGUCAGGAUUACAAUUGACUAGCACGUAAGUCCCUCCAUUGCUCCACUGGGUAUUUUUGUCAGCUCAUGGGUGGGGCAUUGUCCAAGGCCAUUCUAUCUUUUAGCAUUUUUUUUUUUUAAUAUGUGCAUCCUUUGUCAUUUAAUGGGUAAACCACUGGGUAUUUGCACAAAUAUUUGCAACAAGAGCCAUGACUAAAUUAUGCCAAUCGUAAUUAUUUUGUUUUCAUCAUCAUCAUCAUCAUCAUCAUUAUCAUUGUUAUUAUUAUAACUAUUAUUAUUAUUAUUAUUAUUAUUAUUAUUAUUAUUAUUAUUAUUAUUAUUAUUAUUGUGUUUGCAUCAAUGGAGAUACACAGGCAAUGUAAGUUUUGAUCUGGUGAGCAAUUUAAUUUACAUAUUUACAAUCAUAUGAACAUGUUUCCGUAAUUUAAACUUCCGCAGGUUCUUUAACCCAAAAUUCCAAAAUACAAUGCCUCCAAGAGUGGUGAAAACUUGUCAUUACAGAUAUCUAAAAGGGAGUGAGGAUGAGCCCCUUUUCAGAAAUAACAACACUUACUGAUCUUAACCAGCCUGCUGGUUGCAACUUCAUUUUGGCAUAAUUACAACUACAACUGAUUUAAAAACACUUCAGUCCUGAAUGUUACUUCACAAAUUUUAAUCAUUGAUUUUCCACUCAAAACUUGAUUUUAAGGGGUUGAUACACAUUUCAACAUCCCAUAUCAGAUAUUAGCAAGAACAACAAAUUAGAUUCUACAAUUUAGCUUUCAAGCUGCAUACUGUAUGUACAAUGUCAUUUACUUAUUAAUUACUGGUAUUCGAGCUCACAUAAUUAACUUUUUUCAUGAGGAUUUUAUCCAAGUAUACAUUUAAAAGUAACUUAUAUACAAUAGAAUGUACAGUAGGUGACUCUCUCUCUUGGUCUGACAAAAAGGCUUAGAGUCUUAUCUACUGAAUACACUCACUUCCUAGUGAUAUUUCACGUGCAUUGCACACAUAUAUCCACAUUAUUAGGACCUUUAAUGAGGCAGUAUCCCAGGGGAGGCCCUCCUAUGAAAACAUCAGGAGAGUCAGUGCUAUGUGUUGAUUGGUACUGCACGAGUGUAAACCUUACUCAUGGCUAUACCUUUCAGGGAAAUAUUGACCUUAAAAAAACACACCUGCUUUUAAUAGGGUUUUUCAGUUGCAUCCAUUGUACAGUACAGUUUAGAAACUUUAUCAGAACAUACCACUAGAGCAACGAAACUGCAUUAGAAAUUUCAAUAUGAAGCAGUUUUCUUGUGAUCUGAAAAAAUCAUAACAAGGUUUGUGGACUAAGUGUCUUGAAAGCGUUACUGUGAUUAUUAUUUUAAUUCUUAACAGUUAGUGAACAGUUGCUCCACUUAAGCUUGCACAAUCUAGAUUGACACCGUGCCAGAAAAAAUUUAGCA